rnacentral:rRNA from 1 species
CACGUAGGGCGCAAGCGUUGUCCGGAAUUAUUGGGCGUAAAGAGCUCGUAGGCGGACUGUCACGUCUGCUGUGAAAAGCUAGGGCUUAACCCUGGCCUUGCAGUGGAUACGGGCAGACUAAAGGUAGGUAGGGGAGAAUGGAAUUCCCGGUGUAGCGGUGAAAUGCGCAGAUAUCGGGAGGAACACCGGUGGCGAAGGCGGUUCUCUGGGCCUUACCUGACGCUGAGGAGCGAAAGCGUGGGGAGCGAACAGG